rnacentral:rRNA from 1 species
UGGCUAGGGGGUCAUGGCGACUUACCAAACCAAGGCAAACUCCGAAUACCGAUGAGUACAGCUUGGGAGACAGAGCACCGGGUGCUAACGUCCGGACUCAAGAGGGAAACAACCCAGACCGCCAGCUAAGGUCCCUAAAAUUGGCUAAGUGGGAAACGAAGUGGGAAGGCUAUAACAGUCAGGAUGUUGGCUUAGAAGCAGCCAUCCUUUAAAGAAAGCGUAAUAGCUCACUAGUCGAGUCGGCCUGCGCGGAAGAUGUAACGGGGCUCAAACUAGGAGCCGAAGCUGCGGAUUUGAAUUUGUUUUCAAGUGGUAGGGGAGCGUUGUGUAAGCCUGUGAAGGUGUGUUGUAAAGCAUGCUGGAGGUAUCACAAGAGCGAAUGCUGACGUGAGUAACGAUAAUGCGAGUGAAAAGCUCGCACGCCGGAAGAUCAAGGGUUCCAGUCCAACGUUAAUCGGGGCUGGGUGAGUCGACCCCUAAGGCGAGGCCGAAAGGCGUAGUCGAUGGGAAAUCGGUUAAUAUUCCGAUACUUGUUUAUAAUGCGAUGGAGGGACGGAGUAGGUUAUGUCAGCCUGGCGUUGGUUGUCCAGGUGAAAGGAUGUAGGCUUACAGUUUAGGCAAAUCCGGACUGUAAUACGGCUGAGAUCUGAUAGCAAGCGGUACUUGUACCGUGAAGUGGCAAAUACCAUGCUUCCAGGAAAAGCUUCUAAGCAAUAGUUAUAAACGAAUCGUACCCUAAACCGACACAGGUGAUCAGGUAGAGAAUACCAAGGCGCUUGAGAGAACUCUGCUGAAGGAACUAGGCAAAAUGGUACCGUAACUUCGGGAGAAGGUACGCUGCCGAUGGUGAUAGGACUUGCUCCUUGAGCUGUUGGCAGUCGCAGAUACCAGGCUGCUGCAACUGUUUAUUAAAAACACAGCACUCUGCAAACACGAAAGUGGACGUAUAGGGUGUGAUGUCUGCCCGGUGCUGGAAGGUUAAUUGAUGGGGUCAGCCGCAAGGCGAAGCUCUUGAUCGAAGCCCCAGUAAACGGCGGCCGUAACGAUAACGGUCCUAAGGUAGCG